AGUUUGAUCCUGGCUCAGAGUGAACGCUGGCGGCAGGCCUAACACAUGCAAGUCGAACGGCAGCACAGUAAGAGCUUGCUCUUAUGGGUGGCGAGUGGCGGACGGGUGAGGAAUACAUCGGAAUCUACUCUUUCGUGGGGGAUAACGUAGGGAAACUUACGCUAAUACCGCAUACGACCUACGGGUGAAAGCGGAGGACCUUCGGGCUUCGCGCGGUUGAAUGAGCCGAUGUCGGAUUAGCUAGUUGGCGGGGUAAAGGCCCACCAAGGCGACGAUCCGUAGCUGGUCUGAGAGGAUGAUCAGCCACACUGGAACUGAGACACGGUCCAGACUCCUACGGGAGGCAGCAGUGGGGAAUAUUGGACAAUGGGCGCAAGCCUGAUCCAGCCAUGCCGCGUGGGUGAAGAAGGCCUUCGGGUUGUAAAGCCCUUUUGUUGGGAAAGAAGAGCAGUCGGUUAAUACCCGAUUGUUCUGACGGUACCCAAAGAAUAAGCACCGGCUAACUUCGUGCCAGCAGCCGCGGUAA
rnacentral:rRNA from 1 species